rnacentral:snRNA from 1 species
GGGCUCACUUUUGCAGCAUAUACUGUAAAAUUGUAAUGAUAGAAGAUUAACAUGAUCCUUGGGCAAGGAUGAUGCACAGCACAAAUUCCUGAAACAAUCAUAU